rnacentral:tRNA from 1 species
CAAGAUGUAGCUUAAACAAAGCAUCUGGCCUA